rnacentral:rRNA from 1 species
CACAGACAACCAGGAUGUUGGCUUAGAAGCAGCCACUCAUUCAAAGAGUGCGUAAUAGCUCACUGGUCGAGUGAUCCUGCGCCGAAGAUUUCCGGGGCUAAAACUUACUACCGAAGCUACGGCAUCAUUAUGAUGGGUAGGGGAGCUUCCCAUACGGGUUGAAGCAUGACCGUAAGGACAUGUGGACAGUAUGGGAGUGAGAAUGUUGGCAUGAGUAGCGAGAUGUGGGUGAGAAUCCCACAGGCCGUAAACCCAA